AAAUCUUUGGAGAUAUAUCUAAUAAAAUUGGAAUGAUACAGAGAAGAUUAGUAUGGCCCCUGUGCAAGGAUGGCACACAAAUCAAGAACUGGUCCAAAAUUUA
rnacentral:snRNA from 1 species